GGGCGCUCAAAAGAGGCCAGUAAGGCAGGGUGAACAGGUGUGCAAGCCGGAGAGUCUUCAACUGGGGCUUCCUAGGAUCAUCUCCAAUAAACUACCUGCACUUGAGCCCUUGUCUCAGGCUGUUUCUGGGGGAACACCAGCACAGGGGAUAACUCUCACUGAAGAGCCAAACAGGUCUGGAUUUCAAUCUGGCUUUUUCUGCUUAAAGGAAACAUUUUCUGAGCCUCAGUUUUCUCAUCCUUAAAAUGGGGUGAGCGGUGCCACCCUUUCAAAGUCUGCUAAAUGGAAUAAAAGCUGUGAUAUGUCAAUGAGGCACUGAGCAGAGUGCUGGGCACCUAGUGUGUAGUCAGAGGAGGAUGCCUAUUGCACUCACCAUCAUAUCCCCAGCCCUUUACCUUGCUGAGUUCUCAGUCAUGAAUAAGUGAAUGAAUUUGCUGAGGUGCAGAUGAGAUUAAUACAUCUGAACAGGACUGGAUAGUUUAUAGAAGACUCAAGAUCUGUAUCGCACAACCAGAGAAGUUUCAACUUCAGGGCUGCCAUGAACAGCCACAAAGGUUAUACAUUGUGCAACUCCAGGGGACAGAGGCCAUUCACCAGGACAGCAGUGAAGAGGCUUCUUCUGCCCUGGCUUUGGCUGCGAAGGGUUGUCAGGGCCCACACUGGGAGCUCAUGCCUCAACUUGGUCCUCCCUUAGAAGACCUCUGCAGCUCCAUGGGUGAGAAACUUCAGAGGGUCUAGUAGGUCACCCAGAUGCUGCCCAUCUGCUCGACCUCGGGGAGUUUGCCCAGUCUCCUUGAGCCUCACUUUCCUCAUCUGUAGAAUGGAAGUGAGGUUUCUUUUGCCAGGUUGUUGAGGAUCAGAUGGAACAUUUUAUAAAAUGCCUAGCCCCUUGCACACGCUCAGUGGAGGGAAACUACUAGGAUUGUUCCCUGGUUGGUGGGGGCCUGUUGUUACUUUUGCCUGACUGCUAUUUCUUCUUCACCUUUCUCACCUCGGUCCAUCAUACUACACCGUAUCCAUCACCAUCAGCCUCUUACCCAGCUUUUGUGGACCUAGUACCUCUUUGGAGGUGAUGCAGAACAGUGAUUAAGCAGAAAGCUCUGGAGUCUUGCUGUCUAGGUUCAAAUGCUUCACUUUAGGACUCCCUGAGUGGCCUUGGGCAAGUUCCUUCGCGUCACUGCUGCAGAUUCUUGGUGCGUACCCACUACACAUCCCAGUCUCCUGGCAGUUAGGUUGGAACCAUGUGACUGACUAGUUUUGGCCAGAGAGAUGGGAGCAGGAGCGAUGUGUGUGCUGCUCUAGGAAAAGUGGUUGAGAGCCUAUGUGGACAUCUUCUAUCCCUGUCUUGCCCUGUCACUGUGGCCUGUGUGGGACCACAGGGUUAUGGGUUUGUGUUGCAAUACACCACAGGGUUAUCAUGUAAGAGUAUAGCUCUGAGAUGGAAGUGCUCUGAGUCCCCUAAUCACCCUCAGAGGAGAGCCACACCCCCAGCCUUGCACUGUGUUUGAGCGAGAAGUAAACUUUUAUUGCCCCAGAGACUUCAGAGUUUGUUUGUACUGACCAUAAUCCAGUUUAACUUCACUGAUACAGCCUUCCUGUGCCUCAGUGUUUUCAUCAGUGAAAUGGGGACAAUGAGAGUGCCAUUCUCAUAGAAUCAUUGUGAGGAUUAAGGAAGACUGUGGGUGCAACCCUCUUAAGAUGUAAAAUUUUAGUUUUUAUUACCUUUUAGGAAGGUACAGAAAAGCACAAAAUGACUCUAGACUCUCAGAGCAGGAGGGACCCUGGCAGGACCUUGAAUUC
ensembl:lncRNA